rnacentral:rRNA from 1 species
UACGUAGGGGGCUAGCGUUGUCCGGAUUUAUUGGGCGUAAAGAGCGUGUAGGCGGCCUGGUAGGUCUGCUGUGAAAACUCGAGGCUCAACCUCGAGAUGUCGGCGGAAACCAUCUGGCUAGAGUCCGGUAGGGGACCAUGGAAUUCCUGGUGUAGCGGUGAGAUGCGCAGAUAUCAGGAGGAACACCGGUGGCGAAGGCGGUGGUCUGGGCCGGCACUGACGCUGAGGAGCGAAAGCGUGGGGAGCAAACAGG